AUUGAACGCUGGCGGCAGGCCUAACACAUGCAAGUCGAGCGGAUGAAGGGAGCUUGCUCCUGGAUUCAGCGGCGGACGGGUGAGUAAUGCCUAGGAAUCUGCCUGGUAGUGGGGGAUAACGUCCGGAAACGGGCGCUAAUACCGCAUACGUCCUGAGGGAGAAAGUGGGGGAUCUUCGGAUCUCACGCUAUCAGAUGACCCUAGGUCGGAUUAGCUAGUUUGUGGGGUAAAGGCCUACCAAGGCGACGAUCCGUAACUGGUCUGAGAGGAUGAUCAGGCACACUGGAACUGAGACACGGUCCAGACUCCUACGGGAGGCAGCAGUGGGGAAUAUUGGACAAUAGGCGAAAGCCCGAUCCAGCCAUGCCGCGUGUGUGAAGAAGGUCUUCGGAUUGUAAAACACUUUAAGUUGGGAGGAAGGGCAGUAAGUUAAUACCUUGCUGUUUUGACGUUACCAACAGAAUAAGCACCGGCUAACUUCGUG
rnacentral:rRNA from 1 species